rnacentral:rRNA from 1 species
UACGGAGGGUGCAAGCGUUAAUCGGAAUUACUGGGCGUAAAGCGCGUGUAGGCGGCCAGGUAGGUCCGUUGUGAAAACCCGACGGCUCAACCUCGGGACGUCGACGGAAACCAUCUGGCUAGGAGUCCGGAAGAGGAGAGCCGGAAUUCCCGGUGUAGCGGUGAAAUGCGCAGAUAUCGGGAAGAACGACCCGUGGCGCAAGGCGGCUGAGCUC